rnacentral:rRNA from 1 species
UACGAAGGGGGCUAGCGUUGUUCGGAAUUACUGGGCGUAAAGCGUGCGCAGGCGGUUAUGCAAGACAGAUGUGAAAUCCCCGGGCUCAACCUGGGAACUGCAUCUGUGACUGCAUUGCUGGAGUGCGGCAGAGGGGGAUGGAAUUCCGCGUGUAGCAGUGAAAUGCGUAGAUAUGCGGAGGAACACCGAUGGCGAAGGCAAUCCCCUGGGCCUGCACUGACGCUCAUGCACGAAAGCGUGGGGAGCAAACAGG